rnacentral:rRNA from 1 species
AUCUAUGGCCAUGCUACCCUGAACAAGCCUGAUCUCAUCUGAUCUUGGAAGCUAAGCAGGCUUGGGCCUGGUUAGUACUUGGAUGGGAGACCACCUAGGAAGACCAGGUCCUGUAGGCG